AUGUCGGGGCUAGAGGAGUUAAAGAAGAAGCUGCAGCCCUUGCUGUUCGACGACUCGGACAAGGGCGGCGUCAGCACCCGAGUUCCCUUCCCGGAGGACACAUGCGAUUCCUAUGUGGUGUCUGAUGGUGGAACAAUAAAUUUACUGAGUAGAUCGUUUGGUGAGUAUAACAUCAAUGAGCAUGGCUUUCAUAAGCGAAGUACUGGGCCAGAAGAGCCAGAUACCGGUGAGAAGGCAUACCGAUGUGCAUCUGAAGACAUGCAUAUAUUUGGUCCCAUUGGAAACGGAGCAAGCAGCGUUGUUCAGAGAGCUAUUUUCAUACCAGUUCAUCGAAUUCUGGCCUUGAAGAAGAUAAACAUAUUUGAGAAGGAGAAAAGGCAACAAAUUCUUAAUGAGAUGAGAACGUUAUGUGAAGCAAGUUGCUAUCCUGGUUUAGUUGAAUUCCAGGGUGCAUUUUACAUGCCCGAUUCUGGACAAAUAAGCAUUGCCCUUGAAUACAUGGAUGGUGGCUCUUUAGCAGACGUUAUAAGAGUCAAGAAAUCAAUACCAGAGCCAGUUCUUGCGCAUAUGCUACUGAAAGUAUUACUUGGCCUGAAGUACUUGCAUGAAGUAAGACAUCUAGUGCAUAGAGAUCUAAAGCCAGCGAAUAUACUGGUAAACCUCAAGGGAGAGGCAAAAAUUACAGACUUUGGUGUAAGUGCUGGUUUGGACAAUACAAUGGCUAUGUGUGCUACCUUUGUAGGAACCGUGACAUAUAUGUCACCUGAGAGAAUUCGUAAUGAGAACUACUCUUAUGCUGCUGAUAUUUGGAGUCUUGGACUAACGAUAUUGGAGUGUGCUACUGGUAAAUUUCCAUAUAAUGUCAAUGAAGGCCCAGCCAAUCUCAUGCUGCAGAUACUCGAUGAUCCAUCACCAGCACCACCAGAAGAUGCCUAUACACCAGAAUUUUGUUCCUUCAUAAAUGAUUGCUUGCGGAAAUAUGCUGAUGCAAGGCCUACAUGCGAGCAGCUUUUGUCACACCCAUUCAUCAAGAGGUAUGAGCAAACUGGUGUGGACUUGGCAGCAUAUGUCAGGGGUGUUGUUAACCCAACAGAAAGAUUGAAGCAAAUAGCGGAGAUGCUUGCUGUUCAUUAUUACCUCCUGUUUAAUGGCUCUGAAGGACCUUGGGAUCAUAUGAAGACAUUCUACAGGGAAGAAUCAUCUUUCAGUUUUUCAGGGAAUGUGUAUGUCGGACAAAGUGCCAUAUUUGAUACUUUAUCAAAUAUAAGGAAGAAGUUAAAAGGUGAUCGGCCUAGAGAAAAAAUUGUUCAUGUUGUUGAGAAGCUGCAUUGUCGUGCGAAUGGGGAAACAGAAAUCGCUAUCCGUGUGUCUGGAUCAUUCAUCACGGGCAACCAAUUCCUAAUAUCUGGUGAAGGGUUGCAAGCUGAAGGGAUGCCCAGCCUGGACGAAAUCAAUAUCGACAUUCCAAGCAAGCGGGUAGGCCAGUUCCGGGAGCAGUUUACCGUGCUUCCAGGGACUUCCAUGGGAUGCUACUACAUAGCAAAGCAAGACCUCUACAUCGUCCAGUCCUGA
rnacentral:rRNA from 1 species